UGCAACAAGGGCGAGAGAAGGGGAGAAGGGAUGGUGGCGGUGGUGCUGGGCUUCACUGGCUGAUGGCGUGGGAAAGGGGAGAGGGGCAACGACAAUUGGGUAGUACCAGACAGUGUUUGGCCGGCUUUUGGAGAUUUCCAACGACGGGAAUCAUGGGAGUGAAGCUGGCAACACCAAAUCUGUAUUUUUGGUGGUUUUUCAACAAUUUUCGAUGGAUUUUUGAUGGGUAUUUACUGGAAAAUAG
rnacentral:lncRNA from 1 species